rnacentral:rRNA from 1 species
UACGUAGGUGGCAAGCGUUGUCCGGAUUUAUUGGGCUUAAAGGGUGCGUAGGCGGCUCCUUAAGUCAGUGCUGAAAUACUCUAGCUUAACUAGAGGGGUGGCAUUGAUACUGAGGAGCUUGAGUAGAGUCGAGGUAGGCGGAAUUGACGGUGUAGCGGUGAAAUGCUUAGAUAUCGUCAAGAACACCGAUAGUGUAGACAGCUUACUAGGCUUCAACUGACGCUGAGGCACGAAAGUGUGGGGAUCAAACAGG